AGUGAACGCUGGCGGCAUGCCUAACACAUGCAAGUCGAACGGUAACAGGCCCGCAAGGGUGCUGACGAGUGGCGGACGGGUGAGGAAUACAUCGGAAUUUGCCCAGUCGUGGGGGAUAACGUAGGGAAACUUACGCUAAUACCGCAUACGACCUAACGGUGAAAGCGGGGGACUCGCAAGAGCCUCGCGCGGAUGGAUAAGCCGAUGUCGGAUUAGCUAGUUGGCGGGGUAAGAGCCCACCAAGGCGACGAUCCGUAGCUGGUCUGAGAGGAUGAUCAGCCACACUGGGACUGAGACACGGCCCAGACUCCUACGGGAGGCAGCAGUGGGGAAUAUUGGACAA
rnacentral:rRNA from 1 species